rnacentral:rRNA from 1 species
AGAGUUUGAUCCUGGCUCAGAAUGAACGCUGGCGGCAUGCCUAACACAUGCAAGUCGAACGAAGGCUUCGGCCUUAGUGGCGCACGGGUGCGUAACGCGUGGGAAUCUGCCCCUUGGUUCGGAAUAACAGCGAGAAAUUGCUGCUAAUACCGGAUAAUGACGUAAGUCCAAAGAUUUAUCGCCUAGGGAUGAGCCCGCGUAGGAUUAGCUAGUUGGUGUGGUAAAGGCGCACCAAGGCGACGAUCCUUAGCUGGUCUGAGAGGAUGAUCAGCCACACUGGGACUGAGACACGGCCCAGACUCCUACGGGAGGCAGCAGUGGGGAAUAUUGGACAAUGGGCGAAAGCCUGAUCCAGCAAUGCCGCGUGAGUGAUGAAGGCCUUAGGGUUGUAAAG